rnacentral:tmRNA from 1 species
GGGGCUGACAAAGCUUAGACGGAUUAUUAACAGAUAUCAGGCGUGUCGAUUAAAUACCGUAAGUAUUAAAUAAGUGCUAAAAACACGAAAUCUGUGCAUGUUGCAUACAUGCCAGCUUAUGCCUAAUCUAAUUUAAUAGGCUGGUUCGGUCUUAAGAUUCCGUAGAGGCUGAAUUAUCAUACAACGGAAAUAAGGUUAUCUAAUUGACGAGAGAUGGCUCGAAAAUUCUGUCAUGGCGUUUAUCAGUUUCGUUUACUGCAGCUGAUGAUAUUUGCCGAGAUGAAACAGGAAACUAUGCACGUAGAAUGAUAUCCAAGUGGUAGUUCGGACCCGGAGGCAGUAUCCGGCAGCUCCACCA